rnacentral:lncRNA from 1 species
ACAAGGGGACAUUUGUGGAGUACCUGGAAUCAUGUGUUUCUGCAGCUGCCCACUUGCCCCACUCUUGUGCCUGCCUCAGGACUGGCCUUCUGACCUAAUCUUCUCUCUCAUUCUGCCCCCGUACCCUGCGCUUUGCCAGCUGCUGAAUGGAGUCCCGUGUGAGCCAGGCCCGUGGGAGGCCGCCUUCGGGUGAUGCCUGGUGGUGCCAAAGGCCCUUGCCCUAAGAACUCUGCCCACUGGCAGGGCUGAGGCCUGAAAUUCCUGGCGUUAGAGUCGUUUCAUUCCUUUCGAUUACUCUGUCUUCUCCAGAGAGCUGUUGUUAAAAUGCAAAUAUGUUCCUCUGAAGGGUAACCUGUUAGCCCACUACUGUGGCCACGGAAAAGCAAAAUGCCCUGCGUUUUGGUUCAGUCACAGGACUGCCCUGUCGCCCAGUUUCUUAUCUGUAAAAUGGAGAUAAUAAGAGAUUGCAUUUUGGGGUUACCCCAAGCAUGAAAUGAGAUCGUGGACAUCAAGCAUUGGACGCGUAAGAAACAGUCGAUAAAAUUGGCUUUUGCUUUUUUUUCUUUAUAAUGCAGUAGGAUUAUUUGAUCACUUCUCUAGCUGGUUCUUAUUAGUUUGUUUGGUUUUUCAAAGUCUUUUGUUUUAAUGUCGCCUCCUUUCAAGAUUACUUUUCUAAUUAUAAAUUGCUGCAGCUCCAAUUCAACCCCUAGCCUGGGAACUUCCUUACACCACGGGCAUGGCCCUAAAAAGACAAAAAAUAAAAGAGAGAAGAGAGGUUUCCCAUACUGUUCUGCUACGUUUUUCUCCUAAUGCUCCAUCUUGAACAUAUUGCAGAUCAUUCCAUCACCUCUAGGCCUAAAGAGAGUAAGAGCUGGUUUUGAGUUCCCUCUGUGCUCCUCUGAGCUUCCGUUCUCUGCUCUAUAAAAUAGAGGUAAUGAUUCCUUCCUUCAAAGGUUAGGAUGAGAGUUAACUAGAAUGCAAAUGUGCUCAGCACAGCUUAUUGGAUAUUGGGUGAUCAGAGCCCAUCACACCAUCGAGAAAAUGUCUUUCAUUCCUUGGAUUCCUCAUCCUCCACCCUUGGCCCCCUUGGGAGAGGACGGAUGGGAGGCUGUGGGGAAUGAGGCUGAGUCUGGGGUGAAUCACAGUGUUUCAUAAUGGAGUUUAAAAUCCUCCUUUCAGUGCGGAGUCAUGUUAAAAUCUGAAGCAGCUCAUUAACAGAUGCCGCCCGAUUUUGUUUAGGACACUGUCUCUGGGCUCACUUUUAUUUAUUCAGCUGCAGGAGGAUGCCUGAAGCCAGGUAUGUGGAUAGGAAGGCUGUGACCUGGGCCUGCCCUUCGUGGGGGCGCUCUCUUGCCAGUGGGGGAAAGCCAGCCCCUUUGAGUACAAGGGGGAGUCGUACCUUAUCUUUGCAAAAGGCAUCCCCUCCUGCUACUGAUGUUCCCUUUUCCACUUCUCUCCUUCCCUUCUGCCUUUAGAUGACCAUAUGCUUUUUCAUUUGUAUCACACAUUUUUCACAAAGACCUCUUACUCUCGUUAGCUCAUUGAACCCUCGGACAAGUCAAUAGGUUUCAGUCCGUACAACGUGACAGGUGAAGCAGCAGAGGCCCAGAGGACCUGAGAUAGGAGUCCAACUCACGCAGCAAAAAGUGGACAGAUCUGGAUGUCUUGGCUUGCAAGCCAUGCGAGUCGUGCUGUAUCAGGUUCCCUCCUUUUCUAACUGUUGGCAGGAAGCUCCUGAGAGUGAGGGCUGCGGGAGGGGCCCUCAUUCUGGCCAGUGGGGAAGCCUUUCUGGAAUGCCUGAGGUGGUUGGGCUUGGUGUGCUGGGAGGGACUGGUGAGACCAGAUAAAGGGAUGGGUUUGGAGGUCAUCCCAAGGUCAGUGGAGGGGGCGGCGCAGAGCUGGGGAGAAUGGGCUGGUGCAGAGCCUAGACACCAAAGGGGAGGCCAACCUUUGUCACCAUUGGUAGGUUGGUGGGUGUUUCCAACAUUCGGUAUCAUUUUUGAUGUUUGGCUCCCCCUUUUUUUUGCCUCAAUCAGUAGCACACCAUAAAUCCUCUUCCUGUUUCCCACAGAGGACCCCUCUCCUAAUUCAGCUUGCAUCUCCCUCACCCUCUAUAAUCACAUCCAACGAAUCAAAACCUAUCUAUUCUGUUUAGAGCUAUUCAGAUACACUCAUAUGCUUAAAUGAGCAUACUGGCUGGAUACAUUUAUUUAGCUCGUUUAAUAUCACAGUAGCCUUAUGGACCAGCUCUUCCCAACAGAAAUAUAAUGUGGGAGUUCCCGUCGUGGCGCAGUGGUUAACGAAUCCGACUAGGAACCAUGAGGUUGCGGGUUCGAUCCCUGCCCUUGCUCAGUGGGUUAACGAUCCGGCGUUGCUGUGAGCUGUGGUGCAGGUUGCAGACGCGGCUCAGAUCCUGCGUUGCUGUGGCUCUGGUGUAGGCCAGUGGCUACAGCUCCAAUUAGACCCCUAGCCUGGGAACCUCCAUAUGCAUUGGGAGCGGCCCAAGAAAUGGCAAAAAG